UGGGCGAAAGCCUGAUGCAGCGACGCCGCGUGGGGGAUGAAGCAUCUCGGUGUGUAAACCCCUUUCGACCCGGAAGAAUGCCUCGCAAGAGGACUGACGGUACGGGUAUAAGAAGCCCCGGCUAACUACGUGCCAGCAGCCGCGGUAAGACGUAGGGGGCCAGCGUUGUUCGGAAUUACUGGGUGUAAAGGGUUCGUAGGCGGUGUGGCAAGUUGGGAGUGAAAUCUCUGGGCUCAACCCAGAGGCUGCUUCCAAAACUGCUGUGCUUGAGUGUGGGAGAGGCGCGUGGAAUUGCAGGUGUAGCGGUGAAAUGCGUAGAUAUCUGCAGGAACACCCGUGGCGAAAGCGGCGCGCUGGACCACUACUGACGCUGAGGAACGAAAGCUAGGGGAGCAAACAGGAUUAGAUACCCUGGUAGUCCUAGCCCUAAACGAUCAGGACUUGGGGUGCCACCCGUUCGGGUGUCGUCCCGGAGCUAACGCGUUAAGUCCUGCACCUGGGGAGUACGGU
rnacentral:rRNA from 1 species